rnacentral:rRNA from 1 species
ACACGCAUGACACACUGCUAUCAAUAAGCGGAGGAAAAGAAACUAACAAGGAUUCCCUUAGUAACGGCGAGUGGAGCGGGAAGAGCUCAAAUUUGAAAUCUUCAAGGUUUUACCUUGACGAAUUGUAGUUUAAAGAAGUGUUUUCUGUUGGAGUUUUGGUAAAAGUUCUUUGGAAUAGGACAUCAUAGAGGGUGAGAAUCCCGUAUUUGACCAUUAUUUCCAGCUGUGUGAUACACUUUCAAAGAGUCGGAUUGUUUGGGAAUGCAGUCCAAAAUGGGUGGUAAAUUUCAUCUAAAGCUAAAUAUUGGCGAGAGACCGAUAGCGAACAAGUACCGUGAGGGAAAGAUGAAAAGAACUUUGAAAAGAGAGUUAAACAGUACGUGAAAUUGUCAAAAGGGAAGCGUUUGACACCAGUGUUGUUUUCUCGAAAAUCAAUUAAAAAUGAUGGGAUUUUGUGUUGUAUUGACUUUAUCAGCUUUCUGCACUUUUUUCUUAUCCUUUUUAAUGCACUUUUCGUUUAACAAGUCAACAUCAAUUUCUUUUGUUGUAAAAGAGUCAUUGGAAGGUGGCUUUUUCUUCGGAAAAAGUGUUUAUAGCCUUUGGCUUCUGCAAUCGGAGAGAUUGAGGUCUGCAGCGUAGAUCCUUCGGGGUUAGAUACAUCUGUGCUAAGCUAUAGUUCUUUAUAGACAACUUGUUGACUAUAAUCAAUCCUGUAACUUACUCGCUUAUGCUAUUUUACCUACGCUUAGGAUGUUGAGCGCAUGUCUCUCUCU